UUUUGGUGGGUGGAUAGAACAAUUAAGAUAAUUAGAAAAAAAUAGAAUUAAUAUUAUUUUUAAUUAAUUAAAAUAAAAUAGAAAAGGAGUUUUUGGGUGGAAAUGAGAAUUUAGAGGAAAUAAGGGAAGUAGUGAAUAUUAUGGAAAGAGUUGGGUCUUAUUAUAAUUUAAAAAGGUUAAAUUAGGUUUAGAGACAAAUACAAAGGUUAGUGGAACGUUUAGGAAUAAUACAUAAAAUUAUAGUUUUUAGAGAAAAGGAGGUUAGGGCUUGGAGAGGGAAGAAC
rnacentral:lncRNA from 1 species